rnacentral:rRNA from 1 species
GACGAACCGUCCAAACGUUGUUCGGAAUCACUGGGCUUAAAGGGCGCGUAGGCGGCCUUGAAAGUCGGGGGUGAAAUCCCACGGCCUAACCGUGGAAGUGCCUCCGAUACUGCAGGGCUCGAGGGAGGUAGGGGCAGCUGGAACUUCCGGUUGGAGCGGUGAAAUGCGUUGAUAUCGGAAGGAACGCCGGUGGCGAAAGCGAGCUGCUGGACCUCUGCUGACGCUGAGCGCGAAAGCCAGGGGAGCAAACGGG